UACGUAGGGUGCGAGCGUUGUCCGGAAUUAUUGGGCGUAAAGAGCUCGUAGGCGGUGUGUCACGUCGGCCGUGAAAACCUGCAGCUUAACUGUGGGCGUGCGGUCGAUACGGGCAUCACUGGAGUUCGGCAGGGGAGACUGGAAUUCCUGGUGUAGCGGUGAAAUGCGCAGAUAUCAGGAGGAACACCGGUGGCGAAGGCGGGUCUCUGGGCCAAUACUGACGCUCAUGCACGAAAGCGUGGGGAGCAAACAGG
rnacentral:rRNA from 1 species